UUUAGAUAGGUAGAUAGAUAGAACUGUAAUGGGGCACUAGGUGACAUAGCCAGUGAGGGCAAAAGUUAGAAAGGGUAGCUGGCACCCCACCAAGGAGCUAGAGGCUUAGUAGCCAUGGCUCAGCCACAGAUAGGGAACAGAGAGAUAGACAGGGCACGUUCGGACAACCCAGGUCAGUGGUGAAAAUCCGACCCGGAAAAGCUAGGGGGCGCUGCUGUGGUGGCUCGCUGGCUGAAGGAAGGAGUUGGCACAUCAGAAAUUCCUACCGGGGCGAAGUGGAGGGCUCGUAGGACGUACGGCGGACUGCCUGACCGAAGAUCAUCAGAUCAUCAGAUAAACUUCCUUGACGAAAUGCAGAAGUGCCGAAAAGCCGAACAGCAGAAGUCCCAAAGCAGUGAAAAAAUCCGAAGCCACGAAAACAGCCAAGGCCAAACUUCCGAAGCGGCGAAAAGAAGUCACAAAAACAGCCGAAAUUGAAGUCCUUAAGCCACGAAAAGACCAAAGUCAGAAAAUGUCAUUAUUAGAAAGAAGAAGAAAGAAGCACACCAGUAGGGGUAAGAGGCGGCCGUGGUCGUCCCCCCAGGUUCCCAAAAUGAAUCCCAUCUACAAUCUCUAUCAUCAUACAUUAAUGCCAGCUGAGACUUCUCUUCUCAGUAAAGCUCACUCGGAACAGCCUGGAAGAGAUAGACGAGAGUAUAUAUUCUUCUCCUUGGUAAUUUACAACAAACAACUUUUGCAGAUCUCUCUGUUGGAUUUCAUUUAAGUCCUUGCUGCUUUCCACAACCAGAGAAUGCAGAUCAUAAUCUGAAUCAAUCCUGUCCCCCAUUAUGUACGU